UACGUAGGGUGCGAGCGUUGUCCGGAAUUAUUGGGCGUAAAGAGCUCGUAGGCGGUCUGUCGCGUCGGUCGUGAAAACUUGGGGCUUAACCCUGAGCUUGCGGUCGAUACGGGCAUGACUGGAGUUCGGCAGGGGAGACUGGAAUUCCUGGUGUAGCGGUGAAAUGCGUAGAUAUCAGGAGGAACACCGAUGGCGAAGGCAGGUCUCUGGGCUGACACUGACGCUCAUGCACGAAAGCGUGGGGAGCAAACAGG
rnacentral:rRNA from 1 species